AGCCCAGAGAGCAUUGCGGGCAACCCAGCGAAAAAAAAAGAGGAGGGGGCCUGGGGUUUUGUUGUCCACUCAGCGGACCAGCUCACGCACAUAAAGGCGUGUUUUUUUUUCCACAGACACGCCCACUCCUCAUCACAAGCGCACACGCGAAUACCGAGGCGUUACAUCUCUGGACGCCUUCGACAGUUCUGCCACUGCGCUGUGACACUUGACACACGCGAAGGGAACUUUAGAGAUACGCUGGUGGUUGUCUAUGAUCUCUGCCUUCCUGCACCGCUGCAAAACCCUCUUUCUCUCCCUCUGUCUCUCUAAAGUAUCGGCGCGCCGCCAUGUCCACCGUCAACACGCCGUGGGUGGAGAAGUACCGUCCGCAGACGGUGGCGGACAUCGUCGGUAACACGGAGGCCAUAUCGCGUUUGCAAGUGAUCGCGAAGGAGGGCAACUUGCCCAACCUGCUUCUCUGUGGACCUCCCGGCACCGGUAAGACGACGAGUAUGCUCUGUCUCGCGCGCGACUUAUUGCUUCAGAGCACCGACACCGGAAGCGCAGGGGCGUCGCCGGGUGGAGCCACGAAGGAUAUCCUCAAGGACGCGGUACUCGAGCUGAACGCCAGCGACGACCGCGGAUUGGACGUGGUACGUGAGAAGAUCAAGCUCUUUGCCCAGACAAAGAAGACGCUGCCCAGGAAGUUCUUCUCUACAGGCGAGGGUGUCGCCAAGGACGACCACGUGGUGCACCUUCACAAAAUUGUGCUGCUGGAUGAGGCGGAUAGCAUGACCCCCGCAGCGCAGCAGGCGUUGCGUCGCACCAUGGAACUGCACAGCAGCACUACGCGGUUUGCCUUUGCGUGCAACAAUAGCAGCAGGAUCAUCGAGCCCAUCCAGUCCCGCUGCGCUGUCGUCCGAUUCAAGAAGCUCAGCGAUGCGGAUAUCUUGAAGCGGCUGGUGUACGUCAUCCAGCAAGAGAACGUUUCCUACACCGAUGACGGACUAGAGGCGCUCCUUUACCUCGCCGAGGGCGACCUGCGGCAGGCACUGAAUGCCCUCCAGGCCACACACACCGGCUACGGACUCGUGAACGCUGACAAUGUCUUCAAGGUGUGCGAUCAGCCGCAUCCGCUGCUCGUCGAGAACGUCAUCACGGCGUGCGUCACGAAACGCAACAUUGAGGAGGCGCACAGGGAGAUGAAUCGCCUGCUUAACCGCGGCUACGCCCCUGUCGACGUGAUCGCGACUUUUUUCAAGGUCGUUCAGACAAACGCGCGCCUCUUUCGCAGUGAGUUGCAGCAGCUGGAAGUGCUAAAAAUAGUGGGCGAAACAACGAUGCGAAUCGCGGAGGGUGUGGGCACCCCACUGCAGCUGGCCGCGAUGCUCGCACGCAUGAUUGCCGCCGUGGAGAACACUCCGUCAUAGAAAUUUCAAGUGAGGUAGCAUAAACCGUGCGGGCGAGAGAUGGAGGGGGAGAGGGCAAGAUAACUCGAGCACACUCUGUGCAGUAAUCGCGGCGCGUUCUCUUUUUGGCGGGGGAGUUGCGAGGCGUGUGUGUGUUUUCAGCUGUUUGCAGGGAGUUGCCACGCUGCUAGUUUUGUUUUUUGCUUGUGGUUCAUCUUGACGUAUCCCCACCAUCACUACUACCACCUGCUCCGCCCGACCCCGCCACCUCUUUUUCUUGUUUCUCACCCUCGGAAGUUCGUGUUCUCACUGCGUCGUUGGAGCGGAGGCGAUAGACCUUCAAGCAGGGAGCGUGAUCCUCCUCGAGCUGCCUGGGAAUGGGGCCCUAAAAUAGUGCCGAAAAGGGCAAGCGGAACG
rnacentral:misc_RNA from 1 species